UACGAAGGGGGCUAGCGUUGCUCGGAAUUACUGGGCGUAAAGGGCGCGUAGGCGGGUGUUUAAGUCAGAGGUCAAAUCCCGGGGCUCAACCUCGGAACUGCCUUUGAUACUGGGCACCUAGAGUGCGGGAGAGGUGUGUGGAACUCCGAGUGUAGAGGUGAAAUUCGUAGAUAUUCGGAAGAACACCAGUGGCGAAGGCGACACACUGGCCCGUUACUGACGCUGAUGCGCGAAAGCGUGGGGAG
rnacentral:rRNA from 1 species